rnacentral:tRNA from 2 species
GGCGAUGUAGCUCAGCUGGCUAGAGCGACCGGUUCAUACCCGGUAGGUCGGGGGUUCGAUCCCCUCCGUCGCUACCA